AAAAAAGCCCAGCAGCGAGUUGACAUGGUGCCCGUACCCCAAACCAACACAGGUGGACAGGUAGAGCAUACCAAGGCGAGUGGGAUAACUAUGGUUAAGGAACUCGGCAAAUUGCCUCCGUAACUUCGGGAGAAGGAGGACCCCAGUAGCGUGAUGAGACUUGCUCUCUGAGCGUGAAGGGGUGGCACAAAAUUGAGGGAAGCGACUGUUUACCAAAAACACAGCAGCGUGCUAAGCCGUAAGGCGCUGUAUACGCUGUGACUCCUGCCCGGUGCUGGAAGGUUACGGGGAUGGGUUAGUCCUUCGGGACGAAGCUCUGAACCUAAGCCCCAGUAAACGGCGGCCGUAACUAUAACGGUCCUAAGGUAGCGAAAUUCCUUGUCGGGUAAGUUCCGACCUGCACGAAUGGAGUAACGACUUCCCUACUGUCUCAACCAUAGACCCAGCGAAAUUGAAGUACGAGUAAAGAUGCUCGUUAGCUGCAGAAGGACGGAAAGACCCCGUGGACCUUUACUAUAACUUGAUGUUGUGUUUUGUCAUAUGUUGUGUAGGAUAGGCGGGAGACUUGGAAGCAUGGACGCUAGUCUGUGUGGAGUCAUCGUUGAAAUACCACCCUGCAUAUGGUGAGGCUCUAACCUAGACCCGUUAUCCGGGUUGGGGACAGCGUCAGGCGGGUAGUUUAACUGGGGCGGUUGCCUCCUAAAGAGUAACGGAGGCGCCCAAAGGUUCCCUCAGCCUGGUUGGCAAUCAGGCGUUGAGUGCAAUGGCAAAGGGAGCUUGACUGCGAGACCUACAAGUCGAGCAGGAGCGAAAGCUGGGCAUAGUGAUCCGGCGGUUGCGUGUGGAAGCGCCGUCGCUCAACGGAUAAAAGGUACCCCGGGGAUAACAGGCUAAUCUUGCCCAAGCGUCCAUAGCGACGGCAAGGUUUGGCACCUCGAUGUCGGCUCAUCGCAUCCUGGGGCUGAAGCAGGUCCCAAGGGUUGGGCUGUUCGCCCAUUAAAGCGGUACGCGAGCUGGGUUCAGAACGUCGUGAGACAGUUCGGUCCCUAUCCUCUGCAGCCGGAGGUGAAUUGAGGAAAGCUGUCCCUAGUACGAGAGGACCGGGACGGACGCAGCUCUCGUGUGCCAGUUGUCCUGCCAAGGGCAUGGCUGGUUAGCGACCUGCGGAAAGGAUAACCGCUGAAAGCGUCUAAGCGGGAAGCCUCUUCCAAGAUGAAUUCACCCACAGGGUUAACCUGGUAAGGCCCGUGGUAGACCACCACGUUGAUAGGCCGGAAGUGUAAGCGUGGCAACACGUUCAGCUGACCGGUACUAAUCGGCCGAGGGCUUGAGUC
rnacentral:rRNA from 1 species